rnacentral:rRNA from 1 species
CCUACGGGAGGCAGCAGUGAGGAAUAUUGGUCAAUGGGCGAGAGCCUGAACCAGCCAAGUCGCGUGAGGGAGUACUGCCCUAUGGGUUGUAAACCUCUUUUGUCGGGGCGCAAAAGCCGGACGUGUCCGGCUGUGAGAGUACCCGAAGAAAAAGCAGCGGCUAACUCCGUGCCAGCAGCCGCGGUAAUACGGAGGAUGCGAGAGUAAUCCGGAUUUAUUGGGGUUAAAGGGUGCGCAGGCGGAUUUUUAAGUCAGCGGUCAAAUCGUGGGGCUCAACCCCAUCCAGCCGUUUAAACUGGGGAUCUAGAGUGUGCGAGAGGUAUGUGGACUGCGUGGUGUAGCGGUGAAAUGCAUAGAUAUCCCGCAGAACCCCGAUUGCGAAGGAAGCAUACCGGUGCACAACUGACGCUCAGGCACGAAAGCGUGGGUAUCGAACAGGAUUAGAUACCCCUGUAGUC